rnacentral:rRNA from 1 species
ACACGAAGUUAGCCGGAGCUUCUUCUGCGGGUACCGUCAUUAUCGUCCCCGCCGAAAGAGUUUUACAACCCUAGGGCCUUCAUCACUCACGCGGCAUGGCUGGAUCAGGGUUUCCCCCAUUGUCCAAGAUUCCCCACUGCUGCCUCCCGUAGGAGUCUGGGCCGUGUCUCAGUCCCAGUGUGGCUGGUCGUUCUCUCAAACCAGCUACGGAUCGUUGCCUUGGUAGGCUUUUACCCCACCAACUAGCUAAUCCGACGCGGGCCGCUCCUUCGGCGAUAAAUCUUUCCACGUUAGGGCUCAUCCGGUAUUAGCUCAAGUUUCCCUGAGUUAUUCCGAACCAAAGGGCACGUUCCCACGUGUUACUCACCCGUGCGCCGCUCUGUAUUGCUACAGCGCUCGACUUGCAUGUGUUAGGCCUGCCGCCAGCGUUCGUU